rnacentral:rRNA from 1 species
UACGGAGGGGGCAAGCGUUGUUCGGAAUUACUGGGCGUAAAGGGCGCGUAGGCGGCCUUCUAAGUCGAACGUGAAAUCCCCGGGCUCAACCCGGGAACUGCGUCCGAUACUGGAAGGCUUGAAUCCGGGAGAGGGAUGCGGAAUUCCAGGUGUAGCGGUGAAAUGCGUAGAGAUCCGGAAGAACACCGGUGGCGAAGGCGGCCUGCUGGGCAGUUGCUGACACUGAGGCGCGACAGCGUGGGGAGCAAACAGG